GUGGGGAAUAUUGGGCAAUGGGCGCAAGCCUGACCCAGCAACGCCGCGUGAAGGAAGAAGGCUUUCGGGUUGUAAACUUCUUUUACCAGGGACGAAACAAAUGACGGUACCUGGUGAAUAAGCCACGGCUAACUACGUGUCAGCAGCCGCGGUAAUACGUAGGUGGCGAGCGUUAUCCGGAUUUAUUGGGUGUAAAGGGCGUGUAGGCGGGACAGCAAGUCAGAUGUGAAAACCAGAGGCUCAACCUCUGGCCUGCAUUUGAAACUGUUGUUCUUGAGUGUCGGAGAGGUAAUCGGAAUUCCGUGUGUAGCGGUGAAAUGCGUAGAUAUACGGAGGAACACCAGUGGCGAAGGCGGAUUACUGGACGAUAACUGACGCUGAGGCGCGAAAGCGUGGGGAGCAAACAGGAUUAGAUACCCCUGUAGUCC
rnacentral:rRNA from 1 species